CGGUGAGGGACGAAGGCUAGGGGAGCAAACCGGAUUAGAUACCCGGGUAGUCCUAGCUGUAAACCCUGCACACUUGGUGUUGCCCCUUCUUUGGGAAAGGGCAGUGCCGGAGCGAAGGUGUUAAGUGGGCCGCUUGGGGAGUAUGGUCGCAAGGCUGAAACUUAAAGGAAUUGGCGGGAGAGCACCGCAACGGGAGGAGCGUGCGGUUUAAUUGGAUUCAACGCCGGAAAACUCACUAGGGAAGACCAUGGUAUGAGGGUCAACUUGAAGAAUUUACUCGAUUACAUGGAGAAGUGGUGCAUGGCCGUC
rnacentral:rRNA from 1 species